AUUGAACGCUGGCGGCGGGCCUAAUACAUGCAAGUCGAACGGGUAGCGGACGGGUGAACAAUUUCUGGGAAACUGCGUGACGUAGCGGUAAAACUACUGUAAACGGUAGAUACUACUGCUAAACAUCCUAUCUGCCCUGGUGGGAUUAGCUAGUAGGGGUGGUAAAGGCUCACCAAGGCGACGAUGCCUAGCUGGUCCGAGAGGGUGACCAGCCACACUGGAACUGAGACACGGUCCAGACUCCUACGGGAGGCAGCAGUGGGGAAUAUUGCGCAAUGGGCGCAAGCCUGAUGCAGCCAUGCCGCGUGUAUGAAGAAGGCCUUCGGGUUGUAAAGUACUGUCGGCGGGGAGGCGUUACCCAAAGAGGAAGCAACGGCUAACUCCGUGCCAGCAGCCGCGGUAAUAC
rnacentral:rRNA from 1 species